GGUUGUGAAGGUGAUUGGGCUGCAACAUCUAUCAUGUUAUUGGUAGACAGGGUUGAGUCAGCUGAUCUGGCUUGCUAGGAGGGCAUCAUCUCCUUCCUCACUGUUCCAUGGGUAUCUCUCCAGAAACAGUCCCCUAAGGAAAGCCUUCCCCAGAGAGAGAUGAAGAGUCUUCUGUUGAGGACAUAUGAGUAGCUGUGAUCCCCUGCUAGCACCUCCAAAGAGCUUUCAAAUGGGUCAGGGAAAAAAAAAUGUGUGUGUGUGU
rnacentral:snRNA from 1 species